rnacentral:lncRNA from 1 species
GUGGAUGUAGUGUGUGUAUUAGAUGCAGUGUCUGUGUAUAGUGAAUGCAGAGUGUUUCAAUUUGUGGUGGAUGUAGUGUGUGUACUGUGAAUACAGGAUGUUUGUGUAGUGGAUGCUGGGUGUACAGUUAAUGCAGAGUGUAUGUUAGUGUAGUGAAUGCAGAGUGUAUGUUAGUGUAGUGAAUGCAGAGUGUGUGUCAGUAUAGUGAAUCCAGA